rnacentral:misc_RNA from 1 species
AUUUUUUAUAAGCGCAACUGGUAUAUAAGCUAUACUCCCCUUUUAUUAGUCCAAAUAGGUUGAAUUUUGUUGUUCUGCAAGCAGCCUGGCGCAAUGCACUAUAUAUCAUAGGAAUUUUUCAAGUGGCACAAACUAUGGUAAUUUACAAUCCAUUUCUAGGAUUUUUCCUAACUAAAUCAUACCAAAUGUUGAUUAUAACAGCCUUGAGUAUGUGAAAUGAGCAUUAAAACUAAUUUCUAUCAAGCUUAACAUUACAACCUCCUUUCCUGUGGAAAGCCCUAAUACUGUUACUAAUAGGGCACAUUUAGUUCAAUGACUCGAGAACAUUUUUCUACAAGGUUACAGAUGAAAAGUGCUCUUGUUCAUUUAGAGAAUUUUCCAAUUUGGACUUAGUGGACUUGAAGUGAGGCUUAUUAAGGAGUUUGUAUUUCUUCAACCUUUCCAAGUGGGUUUUAAAGAUCAAGAAGUGUUAUCUAGUGUUUGUGUUGUCUUGUCUGCUACUGGUUAACUAAAUUAAUGUUUGCAACACUCCUCAUAUGAAAUAGCCACUUUCCAAUUUUGGAAUUUUUCGACACUUGACUUUGUGUGUUCUCUAAACAGUUAAUAUCUCUCUUGGAUUCUGCUAGCUUCUAACGACUUUUUCAUUACUCAAUCGAGUUAUUUCAGUAGCAUUCUUUUGUUUUGUGGGCUACUUGCAUUUGAUUGAUGCUUUGUAGAAUGUUAAGUUUGGUCAAUUUGAUUAAAUGGUGCUAACAUCUUCAGUUUGUUCUAAGUAUCUGUUCUUAAUUUUGAACAUUUGUUCGAUUUAUUUAUGUAUUUGCACUUUAUCUCUUUUGCACAUGUGACUACACCUUGAGCCUAGGCUCUAGGUACCUUUUGUGCCAUAGCGUACUGUGCCUUUUGUCUUUAAUAUCUAUGGCAUGAAGUACCAUCAUCACUUGAAGAACCUUUGUCUGCAAACAUUAAACCAUCUUAUUCAUUUAUCUUUCUUUGUACCAUGGUUUCAGUGCAGAGUUGCUCUUAGAGGAGAGGAUAGAAUACAAUGAUCUUGUAAACUUGGUUCAAGAUGAAUCAUAUUUAUAUGAAAAUAAACAAAUUGAUACACAGGGCAAUGAGGAUAAAAACGGUGAACCAAAGAAAGGUUCCUCAUUAAAAGGUACUGAAGAUUGUGGAGAUCCUAAUGAUCCUCGUGUAAGAUUGAAGCGCGAUUGUGUUGGAAUCAUGGCUGCAUUUAAACUCAAGGAUGCUUUUCAUCAUAUUGUUAUUGUUGCAAACACACACCUUUACUGGGAUCCAGAAUGGGCUGAUGUCAAGCUUGCCCAAGCUAAAUAUCUUUUAUCACGCUUAUCUCAAUUUAAGGCUCUGGUUUCUAACAAGUUUGAAUGUACACCACCUGUUAUUCUGGCAGGUGAUUUCAAUUCAACCCCAUGGGACAAGGUUUACCAGUACCUUAUUUCUAGCAACUCUUCGUCGAUGCCACUUGCAGAAUGCGUGGAUGAGCUUCCUAUUCCCUUGUGUAGCUUCUAUGGUCAUACGAGAGGAGAACCACCAUUCACAAAUUGCACCCCUGACUUCACAAAUACACUUGAUUAUAUAUUCUUUUGCCCUGAUGAGAAAAUAAAACCAGUCAGUUUCCUCGAACUUCCUGAAGCAAAUUCACCUGAUGUUCUUGGUGGAUUACCGAACUAUUACCACCCAAGUGACCAUCUACCAAUUGGUGCUGAAUUUGAAAUCUCCAAGGAAUAAAGCCUCACAGAGGUAAGCACAACUGCAUCUCCUUGUCAUCUCUUUUCUUUUCCUUAUUUCUCAAAUACCAUGAUUGAUGGAUCUAUUUCUGUGCAAAUAUGGCAAAAGAUUGGAAAGAAAAGAUGAUUUAACUUGGUUUGGGAGGCUUUGUAUGAUUGAUUUUUUGUCAUUAGGUACGAGGAUCAACAACAACAUUUUUAUGAUACUUUUAUGAGAUGAACCAAAAGAUUUUGGCAUAGAACUUUGUUGAAGCAUGUUAGUUGCUUAAAUGGCUAAAUCAUUUUUAUUGUUUUAAUUUAUCAAUUUUCCAGCUUUUUAUAAAAAUGUGUAAUAAUUAGUUAAAAUUCAAAUUUAUCAAUAAAACUUGUAUUGUCAUGUUUGUAAUUUCAGUAUAAUAUAAUUUUUUGCGAAUAUAAUUGUUUGCAAUUUACACUCUUUUGGGAUAAAUCAUAGGAGAGGAAGGGAAAUAAUAGAAGGAUUUUUUUUAUAAAUAAUUUUGCAUUUUUUAUUUUCUCCUUUUGUAUUUGGAUAAAUAGAAAAAAAAAAA